rnacentral:rRNA from 1 species
AACGAACGCUGGCGGCAGGCUUAACACAUGCAAGUCGAGCGCAGGAAACUGACGGAACUCUUCGGAGGGAAGGCAGUGGAAUGAGCGGCGGACGGGUGAGUAACACGUAAGGAACCUGCCUCAAGGAUUGGGAUAACUCCGAGAAAUCGGAGCUAAUACCGGAUAGUUCAACGGACCGCAUGGCCCGCUGAUGAAAGGCGCUCCGGCGUCACCUUGAGAUGGCCUUGCGGUGCAUUAGCUAGUUGGUGGGGUAACGGCCCACCAAGGCGACGAUGCAUAGCCGACCUGAGAGGGUGAUCGGCCACACUGGGACUGAGACACGGCCCAGACUCCUACGGGAGGCAGCAGUAGGGAAUCUUCCACAAUGGACGAAAGUCUGAUGGAGCAACGCCGCGUGAGUGAUGAAGGUUUUCGGAUCGUAAAACUCUGUUGUAAGGGAAGAACACGUACGAGAGGAAAUGCUCGUACCUUGACGGUACCUUACGAGAAAGCCACGGCUAACUACGUGCCAGCCGCCGCGGUAAUAC